CGCGAACCAAAACGAGUAAACAAAGCAAAGGCAAAGGGCGGGCGGCCGGGCGCCACCAGCACCCACGCCACACAUAGAUCUCUCUCUGUCUCCGUCUCUUGCUUUGCCUCUAGUCGUCGCCCAGUCGCUGCCGCACUGCUCAGGCUCAAGCUCAAGCUCGAGCCCCGGCUCCUUCGCCAACCCUCGUGCCGCGAUCCCCCGCAGCAGAUUUUCUGUGUGCCGGUUGCUAGCUGAUAAGAUCUGACUCACGGCGCCGGCAAGGUUGUGGCGCCACGGGGUUGCAGAGGCAGGGGCGGCACAUGGAGCGGUCCGGCUCCAAGCGGGCGCUAGACCCUGGCGGCAGUGGCGGCGGCGGCGGCGGCGACGACGACGAACGUGAUCCUAAACGGCCGCACGUCCCGGCCCUCGCCAGUGUCAUUGUAGAAGCUCUCAAGUUGGACAGUUUGCAGAAGCUUUGUUCAUCCCUGGAGCCGAUUCUCCGAAGAGUUGUCAGCGAAGAAGUAGAGCGUGCUCUAGCCAAACUGGGACCUGCAGCAGCACCUGCUAGAAUUGAAGGAAGGACCUCUCCCAAAAGAAUUGAAGGCCCUAAUGGUAGUAAUCUCCAGCUUCAAUUUCGGAGUAGGUUAGCACUCCCACUCUUUACCGGAGGAAAAGUGGAAGGCGAGCAGGGAGCAUCAAUACAUGUUGUGCUGUUGGAUGCAAACACUGGACAUGUUGUUACUUCAGGACCCGAGUCAUUUGCAAAACUGGAUGUGCUUGUGCUCGAGGGUGAUUUUAAUAAAGAGAAGGACGAGGAUUGGACUGAAGAGGAAUUUGAGAGCCACAUUGUGAAAGAACGUGAAGGGAAGAGGCCUCUUUUAAACGGUGAUAUCCAUGUGACACUUAAAGAAGGCGUAGGGACCAUAGGGGAGCUUAUCUUCACUGACAAUUCCAGUUGGAUAAGGAGCAGAAAAUUCAGACUUGGGAUGAGGGUCUCUUCAGGAUUUUGUGAAGGAAUUCGUAUCAAAGAGGCGAAAACAGAGGCUUUUACUGUGAAAGAUCACAGAGGAGAAUUGUACAAGAAACAUUACCCUCCUGCGCUUAAGGAUGAUGUUUGGCGAUUGGAAAAGAUUGGAAAGGACGGUGCAUUCCACGGGAAACUAAACUCAAACGGAAUAUAUACAGUUGAACAUUUUCUUCAACUUCUUGUUAAAGAUCAGCAGAAGUUAAGAAGUAUCCUUGGCACUGGCAUGUCAAAUAAGAUGUGGGAAAGUCUUGUUGAACAUGCGAAAACUUGCGUGCUGAGUGGCAAGCAUUAUAUAUAUUACUCAAAGGAUACAGCAAGUGUUGGUGCAAUAUUCAAUAACAUCUAUGAGUUCACUGGUUUGAUUGCUGAUGAUCAGUUUAUUUCAACGGAAAAUCUUACUGAAAACCAGAGGGUGUUUGCAGAUACAUUGGUGAAGCAAGCAUACGAUGAUUGGAUCAACGUUGUAGAAUAUGAUGGCAAGGGAUUGUUGAAAUUUAAGCAGAAAAAGAGAUCUGUCACAACAAGAAGUGAUGCUGCAAAUGUCUCUACAAGCUACACUUCUUAUGAUUCAGCGCACUCUCAGAAACAAUUGGCACGAGGACAUCCCAAUAUUGAGCGAUCUCUCAUGAGCAGUACCAGUAAGGCAGAAGAGACAAGAGUUGCAUCCAACGGGAACCAGGUAGCGAUAUAUGCAACCAAUCCUCAGGACAUCUCACCAAGUAUUACCAUGCAAUAUGGCAUGAGUUCAUUGAUUCCUGAAGGCCAGUUCAAUGGCUCUUCCAUCCAAACUCAAGCACCAAGAAGCUCCAACAUGCUAGCAUUUGGCCCUCCACCACAGCAGCAGCAGAACUUCGAAUUCUCAACACUUGGUCUGUCCAUGCAAUCCCCAGCUCUUAAUCCUUUUGAUGACUGGCCUGGACGGUCGCAGGAGAACCACGGUGGUGUUGAUGACUUCCUGAUGGAGGAGAUCAGAGUGAGAAGCCAUGACAUACUGGAGAAUGAAGAAGAGAUGCAACAUAUGCUGCGCAUUCUUAGCGGCGGGGCAGCAGCAAACAUGAAUAAUGUAGAUGGCUUUCCCUACAUCCCUUCUCCUGUACCGACCUUCAACUUUGAGGAUGAUCGUGCUCCCUCAUCUGGCAAGGCUGUUGUUGGGUGGCUUAAGAUUAAGGCUGCCAUGCGGUGGGGCAUCUUCGUCAGGAAGAAAGCUGCCGAGAGAAGAGCUCAGCUUGUUGAGCUGGAUGACUAGGGCAUCUUCGUCAGGAAGAAAGCUUCGUUGACGCUUAUGUGUAACAGCGAGCAGGAUCUCAAACUCCCAAAAGUAUGAAUGGACUCGCGUUGGUUGUAUAGGUAGCUGUUUGAUGGUCAUUAUCUAAGUUUUAUUAGUGUUCAGAAAAAAGAAAACUGUUACAACUGUGCAAACUUAUUUGUUGAAGAUUGACAAUUGAAACAGACUUUGUUUGUGGGAACUAGCAGGCGCUCUGUUUUUGCAUCAAAUGGGCAAAUGACAAACUAUAUCCGAACAAACACGGUCAGGACGUUCGUGGGCGAUUUUUAUGGACGGCUUUGGAGAUGUCCUUAGUUGACAUUAGUCCAUGGCAUCCUCUAGUGCUUUGUUGCCAUCUUGAAUAAAUUUGGAGCUACUACAGAUGGGGCCUUCACCAUUUAUCCAUCUAUCAGUUCAGAAGAGGCCUUGCUGCCAUCUUGAAUCUGAAUUUUGGUGCAGGCAGAGAGGACAUGUAGAUCAAUUUUGUCUCGUUAUUUUUUCUCUUCACGGUCUGUCCUGAUUGGUUAGAAGGGAUAGAGGAAUUGGUGGAAUUGUUCGUUGUAUUGCUUGAGCCCAGUGGGCAUAUAUAUAGGAGUACAAUGAUCUACUUGAAGUACAAGACAAGUCAGAACAAAUCCUAGUCUA
rnacentral:rRNA from 1 species